CUGGCGGCACGCCUAACACAUGCAAGUCGAACGAAGUAGCAAUACUUAGUGGCAGACGGGUGAGUAACAUGUAGGUAUCUUCCCUUUGGCCUGGAAUAACACGAGGAAACUUGUGCUAAUACUGGAUAAGUCUUUACGGAGAAAGCUUUAUGCACCAUUGGAUGAGCCUGCACUUGAUUAGUUUGUUGGUGGGGUAAUGGCCUACCAAGACUGUGAUCAAUAGCUGAUUUGAGAGGAUGAUCAGCCACAUUGGGACUGAGACACGGCCCAAACUCCUACGGGAGGCAGCAGUGGGGAAUCUUGCACAAUGGAGGAAACUCUGAUGCAGCGAUGCCGCGUGAGUGAAGAAGGCCCUUGGGUUGUAAAGCUCUUUCGUCGGGGAAGAAAAUGACUGUACCCGAAUAAGAAGGUCCGGCUAACUUCGUGCCAGCAGCCGCGGUAAUACGAAGGGACCUAGCGUAGUUCGGAAUUACUGGGCUUAAAGAGUUCGUAGGUGGUUGAAAAAGUUGGUGGUGAAAUCCCAGAGCUUAACUCUGGAACUGCCAUCAAAACUUUUCAGCUAGAGUUUGAUAGAGGAAAGCAGAAUUUCUAGUGUAGAGGUGAAAUUCGUAGAUAUUAGAAAGAAUACCAAUUGCGAAGGCAGCUUUCUGGAUCAUUACUGACACUGAGGAACGAAAGCAUGGGUAGCGAAGAGGAUUAGAUACCCUCGUAGUCCAUGCCGUAAACGAUGUGUGUUAGACGUUGGAAAUUUAUUUUCAGUGUCGCAGCGAAAGCGAUAAACACACCGCCUGGGGAGUACGACC
rnacentral:rRNA from 1 species